GACGAACGACUGUUUCUGUCAUUCCCAUUCAAAUUUCCGAUGUAACCCGCCAUAACGCCAUCUCUGGAGCUUGUCACGCGUUGCUCAGGCUUUCUUUCAGACGUCGUCUGCGUCAUUUCUGCGUGGCCAUGACAAUGAAAAACAUGACAAAAAAUGUUAGGUGGCGAAGAACAGUGUUGACACUUGACAGUAAAGCACACACAGAGCAAAUGCAGGAGGAUGCAGGAUGCGAAUUUUAACUUAAACUUACAUUUAACUUAAUUCUUUGAUUAUUUUCAUGACCAACAAUAGAACUACAUUGAAUUUUAAAUAUUUUAGAUGUCCGACAAUAGAACUCCAACGAUUUUAAAACUAAUUUCAUGUCUGAUAGUAGAACUCCAUUGAAUUUUAAAUAUCUCAAAUGUCCGACAAUCCAUCCGAAUCCGAUCCAUCCAUCCUUGAAUCCUUUCCAUACAGUCAAACGUGGUAAUCGUGGAGGAAUCUUUUGGCUCCGUCAGUAGGUGGCUAAAAUCAAGUUAUCCCCUUGCCGCCAGAUGACGCGAGUGUCUUUGAGAGGACGAAAUUUUCGCCAUUUUGUUCCAAAACGCCAAGUGAAAAGGAACUUCAAAUUCGUUACGGAAUUGCGGUGUCGAUCUACAUUUUCAGCAUUGAAAUUUAAUGGAAAUCUGACAUAUAAUUUCCACUUGGCCAAAUAAUGGAUCACGUGGACUGAAACUGCUUUCCAUUUUGCGAAAUGUCGUCCGUUGUUAGCUGUACCUGUUCGGAUGUACGUCUCAUCUCACGCAGAAACACUACAGAGGUUGGAGAUCCCGUUGCCUAACUGUUGCAGAAUGUGAGAACUCAAUAAAUUCUGAGCUCCAUGGCUGGUGUCAUGGCCACAGUGGUUUUGUUGCAGCCAGCUGGUGAAAGGCGUGAUUGAGCCAAGUGGAGCUGCAGCUGCUGCAUGCAGUUUAUCGAGCUGGUGUUAUCCUGAAGUGUCAUUGUAGGAAGACUUUUUGAAAUGGACUUAAACUAUUCCUGUGCUGUUCAAUGUGCAGUGGUUUUGCAGCCUGUUCCAGUUGGGAGAUGUGAUAAGCAGCUGAUACAGGAUUGAAGAAAAAGAACUGAAGUCGCUGUGCUGGUGUUCUCCUGAAAUUGCUGUGCCCAACGAGUUGCAGAUAGUGUUUGGUUCCUUAUAGAAAUUUAUUUAAAGAGUCUGGAGAUGAUCAGUCACUUCAACCUAUACUAACUUAUGUAAAACUUCAAAGGUUUAAGAAAUAUACCAGUCAAGU